GAACACCGGCUCCCAUACGAUCAAUGAAGUUAAGCAACGUCGAGCCUGGUCAGUAUGGGUGACCACUUGUGAAUACCAGGUGCUGUAA